rfam:Alligator mississippiensis ScZkoYb_1039, whole genome shotgun sequence.
GGAGAAUUAGCUCAGAUGGUCGAGCGCUUGCUUUGCAUGCAUGAGGUAGUGGGAUUGAUGCCCGCAUUCUCCA